GUAGGUGGCAAGCGUUGUCCGGGAAUUAUUGGGGCGUAAAGCGCGCGCAGGCGGUUCUUUAAGUCUGAUGUGAAAGCCCACGGGCUCAACCGUGGAGGGUCAUUGGAAACUGGAGAACUUGAGUACAGAAGAGGAAAGCGGAAUUCCACGUGUAGCGGUGAAAUGCGUAGAGAUGUGGAGGAACACCAGUGGCGAAGGCGGCUUUCUGGUCUGUAACUGACGCUGAGGCGCGAAAGCGUGGGGAGCAAACAGGAUUAGAUACCCUGGUAGUCCACGCCGUAAACGAUGAGUGCUAAGUGUUAGGGGUUUCCGCCCCUUAGUGCUGCAGCUAACGCAUUAAGCACUCCGCCUGGGGAGUACGGCCGCAAGGCUG
rnacentral:rRNA from 1 species